rnacentral:rRNA from 1 species
UGGAGGGCAAGUCUGGUGCCAGCAGCCGCGGUAAUUCCAGCUCCAAUAGCGUAUAUUAAAGUUGUUGCAGUUAAAAAGCUCGUAGUUGAAUUUCGGGAUUUGUCAGUUGGUCGGGCUUCCCUGUCCGUAUUGACUUGAUGGAUUCUUACCUUCUGAAUAACCAGCAUGCUAUUAAGUUAGUGCGUUGGGGAAGCAGAUCUAUUACCUUGAAAAAAUUAGAGUGCUUAAAGCGAGCUAGUGCUUGAAUAGAUUAGCAUGGAAUAAUAAAAUAGGACGGCAUGGUUCUAUUUUGUUGGUUUCUAGGAUCACCGUAAUGAUUAAUAGGGAUAGUUGGGGGCAUUAGUAUUCAAUUGUCAGAGGUGAAAUUCUUGGAUUUAUUGAAGACUAACUUCUGCGAAAGCAUUUGCCAAGGAUGUUUUCAUUAAUCAAGAACGAAAGUUAGGGGAUCGAAGACGAUCAGAUACCGUCGUAGUCUUAACCAUAAACUAUACCGACUAGGAAUCGGACGAUGUUAAUUUUAUAAUGACUCGUUCGGCACCUUACGGGAAAC